GAAAUCUAUUUUAAAAAUUUGUUGUGCCCUCUGACGCCUGCUUGGUACCCGUUUUCGUGCUGGCUAAGCAAAAAAAGAGUCAGUGAAAAGAAAGCUGGACCACAUUUUGGUGUCAGAAUUGGGAAUCCAAAAAGGCCUCUCAUGAGCCUCAAGGUACUGACAGAGCCCAGUGCACUUACUGCUUUCUCCCUGACCAUGGAGUUCUAGGGGUCUUAAAUGCUUGUCAGCAGCCACAGAGUUGACAGAUGAUCUUUGUGAGGAAAAAACAACAAAACUACAUGAACAAGAAUCAUCAG